AUCACUCUUAGUAGAGAGAAAAAGAAGACUGGACAACAGCAAAUUUCUUGCUGUGAUUCUUCAAAGGGUGUCAAAUGAUGUAAAUGUUCAAAUGGCUGGAGUUAUAGCAGAGCAAGAGGGGUCAGCAACCCUUCUCAGAAUAUACCAGCCACUCUGCUACUCUCAUGUGUGGACCAGGUCAAAGCCCAAGGAGCAGGCCCUGGACCAGGGGAUUACACUUGUAUCUGAAACGAUGGGAUGUGGAGGAGAAUGA